UACAGGGGGUGCAAACGUUGCUCGGAAUCAUUGGGCGUAAAGCGCACGUAGGCGGUCUGUUAUGUCGGAUGUGAAAGCCCUUGGCUUAACUGAGGAAGUGCAUCCGAAACUGGCAGGCUAGAGUACUAAAGAGGGUCGCGGAAUUCCCGGUGUAGAGGUGAAAUUCGUAGAUAUCGUCUGGAACGCCGAAGGUGAAAACAGACUGCUGGGGAUGCGCUGACGCUGAGACACGAAAGCCAGGGGAGCGAACGGG
rnacentral:rRNA from 1 species